rnacentral:rRNA from 1 species
GGCUUCAGGAAUGAACGCCUGGCGGCGUGCCUAAUACAUGCAAGUCGAACGAGUUCUCGUUGAUGAUCGGUGCUUGCACCGAGAUUCAACAUGGAACGAGUGGCGGACGGGUGAGUAACACGUGGGUAACCUGCCCUUAAGUGGGGGAUAACAUUUGGAAACAGAUGCUAAUACCGCAUAGAUCCAAGAACCGCAUGGUUCUUGGCUGAAAGAUGGCGUAAGCUAUCGCUUUUGGAUGGACCCGCGGCGUAUUAGCUAGUUGGUGAGGUAAUGGCUCACCAAGGCGAUGAUACGUAGCCGAACUGAGAGGUUGAUCGGCCACAUUGGGACUGAGACACGGCCCAAACUCCUACGGGAGGCAGCAGUAGGGAAUCUUCCACAAUGGACGCAAGUCUGAUGGAGCAACGCCGCGUGAGUGAAGAAGGCUUUCGGGUCGUAAAACUCUGUUGUUGGAGAAGAAUGGUCGGCAGAGUAACUGUUGUCGGCGUGACGGUAUCCAACCAGAAAGCCACGGCUAACUACGUGCCAGCAGCCGCGGUAAUACGUAGGUGGCAAGCGUUAUCCGGAUUUAUUGGGCGUAAAGCGAGCGCAGGCGGUUUUUUAAGUCUGAUGUGAAAGCCCUCGGCUUAACCGAGGAAGCGCAUCGGAAACUGGGAAACUUGAGUGCAGAAGAGGACAGUGGAACUCCAUGUGUAGCGGUGAAAUGCGUAGAUAUAUGGAAGAACACCAGUGGCGAAGGCGGCUGUCUGGUCUGUAACUGACGCUGAGGCUCGAAAGCAUGGGUAGCGAACAGGAUUAGAUACCCUGGUAGUCCAUGCCGUAAACGAUGAAUGCUAGGUGUUGGAGGGUUUCCGCCCUUCAGUGCCGCAGCUAACGCAUUAAGCAUUCCGCCUGGGGAGUACGACCGCAAGGUUGAAACUCAAAGGAAUUGACGGGGGCCCGCACAAGCGGUGGAGCAUGUGGUUUAAUUCGAAGCAACGCGAAGAACCUUACCAGGUCUUGACAUCUUUUGAUCACCUGAGAGAUCAGGUUUCCCCUUCGGGGGCAAAAUGACAGGUGGUGCAUGGUUGUCGUCAGCUCGUGUCGUGAGAUGUUGGGUUAAGUCCCGCAACGAGCGCAACCCUUAUGACUAGUUGCCAGCAUUUAGUUGGGCACUCUAGUAAGACUGCCGGUGACAAACCGGAGGAAGGUGGGGAUGACGUCAAAUCAUCAUGCCCCUUAUGACCUGGGCUACACACGUGCUACAAUGGAUGGUACAACGAGUUGCGAGACCGCGAGGUCAAGCUAAUCUCUUAAAGCCAUUCUCAGUUCGGACUGUAGGCUGCAACUCGCCUACACGAAGUCGGAAUCGCUAGUAAUCGCGGAUCAGCACGCCGCGGUGAAUACGUUCCCGGGCCUUGUACACACCGCCCGUCACACCAUGAGAGUUUGUAACACCCGAAGCCGGUGGCGUAACCCUUUUAGGGAGCGAGCCGUCUAAGGUGGGACAAAUGAUUAGGGUGAAGUCGUAACAAGGUAACCA